AGCGAGACUCGGUUGCGUAGAUUCC
rnacentral:rRNA from 1 species